UGGAAAGGGUUGAAUUAGCAGCUAUUUAUCCACAAAACAGGUGCAUUCUGGGCAGUGGUACAGGAAACUGUCCCACCAAUGUGCCUUCACCCUGACCUGGGGAGACCAUCCCUGUUUGAAGGAGGGUACUUUAUAUCCAUCAUCCCCUUCCACUGCUGCGGCCACU
ensembl:misc_RNA